AUCUCAGAGGCAGCUGUCUCCUCCGCCUACAUUCAAGUCCAGUCCUAUUUGUAGGUUUCCAAAGCAACAAUGCAAAUGUUCGAUCAAUGUGCUUGGUGUGUGAUAGGCCUAUACUACAGGCUUGUUUUGCCAUAAGUCCUGGUUGCAAGGAAUGUGCUAAACUCAGAAGAGGUGUUUCUAGGACAUGGCGCCUGGGGAUAACAGGGAUUCCUACAAAAACUGCCACAGACCAUGGUACCAGACUCCAGCGCUGCUUUGCUGUAAGUGAUGCCCUCACCAGGACAAAACAUCAAAGGAAGCUGCUUGAACGCAGAUGGUAUCAGCCUUGGCAGUCCUGGAAGCCUGCAAUAAAAAACACCACAUCACUGACCUUCAUGUUUGGCGUCUUCUCCCAUACAUGCAAAUGUGCCUGGCAAUCUUAAGAUGGACACAGAUGGUCCAGAACUUUCACUAAGACUGAGCAACCUGUGAGUGAUCAGGAAAGAAACCAUGAGGGACUGGAAAUUGGACUCAGCCUCUCUGCUUGAUCCUUGGGUACCACUCUUGGCGGCACAGUGGAGAAUUGGUUUUGACAUCUUUGUCCCAUCAAAGUCUUUGUUUCUCCCUGACACUCCUUGCCACCUCAUCUGUUCACUUACAGCCUGUGCUAAGGUUGUGACUGAAUGGCACCUUCUCAUUAGGAACAACCCAGGGGGAGAGACAGAGGGUUGCAUGCAUGGAACUGAUUGUGAUUUGUUCUUUUCUUACAGUAAUCAGUGACAUCUUGGUUGAUUCCUUCUUAUUUUCAUCGUUACUGCUUACUGCGAAUAUUCUUUUCUUUCGGUUUUGUCUCUUACCUGUUUUUUUAUCCUCCAAAUGAACAUUCUCAAAGAAAUCUUUGACCCUGGAUUGAUUAAUAUCUUAGCUAUUGUUUAUGAACUACCACACAUUGAAAUCUAAUUACUUCUACUGUUUCUAGUUUCUCAUUUUAAAAUAAAUUCCCUGGAGCUUUAGACUCCUCCUCCUCC
rnacentral:lncRNA from 1 species